GGGGUGGGGGGUGCUAUACAUGCAGUUGAGCGCUGAAGAUUGGUACUUGUACCGAUUGGAUGAGCAGCGAACGGGUGAGUAACGCGUGGGGAAUCUGCCUUUGAGCGGGGGACAACAUUUGGAAACGAAUGCUAAUACCGCAUAAUAGCUUUAAACAUAAGUUUUAAGUUUGAAAGAUGCAAUUGCAUCACUCAAAGAUGAUCCCGCGUUGUAUUAGCUAGUUGGUGAGGUAAAGGCUCACCAAGGCGAUGAUACAUAGCCGACCUGAGAGGGUGAUCGGCCACAUUGGGACUGAGACACGGCCCAAACUCCUACGGGAGGCAGCAGUAGGGAAUCUUCGGCAAUGGACGAAAGUCUGACCGAGCAACGCCGCGUGAGUGAAGAAGGUUUUCGGAUCGUAAAACUCUGUUGUUAGAGAAGAACGACGAGGAGAGUGGAAAGCUCCUCGUGUGACGGUAUCUAACCAGAAAGGGACGGCUAACUACGUGCCAGCAGCCGCGGUAAUACGUAGGUCCCGAGCGUUGUCCGGAUUUAUUGGGCGUAAAGCGAGCGCAGGUGGUUUAUUAAGUCUGGUGUAAAAGGCAGUGGCUCAACCAUUGUAUGCAUUGGAAACUGGUAGACUUGAGUGCAGGAGAGGAGAGUGGAAUUCCAUGUGUAGCGGUGAAAUGCGUAGAUAUAUGGAGGAACACCGGUGGCGAAAGCGGCUCUCUGGCCUGUAACUGACACUGAGGCUCGAAAGCGUGGGGAGCAAACAGGAUUAGAUACCCUGGUAGUCCACGCCGUAAACGAUGAGUGCUAGAUGUAGGGAGCUAUAAGUUCUCUGUAUCGCAGCUAACGCAAUAAGCACUCCGCCUGGGGAGUACGACCGCAAGGUUGAAACUCAAAGGAAUUGACGGGGGCCCGCACAAGCGGUGGAGCAUGUGGUUUAAUUCGAAGCAACGCGAAGAACCUUACCAGGUCUUGACAUACUCGUGCUAUUCCUAGAGAUAGGAAGUUCCUUCGGGACACGGGAUACAGUGGUGCAUGGUUGUCGUCAGCUCGUGUCGUGAGAUGUUGGGGUUAAGUCCCGCAACGAGCGCACCCCUAUUGUAGUUGCCAUCAUUAAGUUGGGCACUCUAACGAGACUGCCCGGUGGAAUAAACCGGAGGAA
rnacentral:rRNA from 1 species